rnacentral:rRNA from 1 species
GAUGAACGCUGGCGGCGUGCCUAAUACAUGCAAGUCGAGCGAACGGACGAGAAGCUUGCUUUUCUGAUGUUAGCGGCGGACGGGUGAGUAACACGUGGAUAACCUACCUAUAAGACUGGGAUAACUUCGGGAAACCGGAGCUAAUACCGGAUAAUAUUUUGAACCGCAUGGUUCAAAAGUGAAAGACGGUCUUGCUGUCACUUAUAGAUGGAUCCGCGCUGCAUUAGCUAGUUGGUAAGGUAACGGCUUACCAAGGCAACGAUGCAUAGCCGACCUGAGAGGGUGAUCGGCCACACUGGAACUGAGACACGGUCCAGACUCCUACGGGAGGCAGCAGUAGGGAAUCUUCCGCAAUGGGCGAAAGCCUGACGGAGCAACGCCGCGUGAGUGAUGAAGGUCUUCGGAUCGUAAUACUCUGUUAUUAGGGAAGAACAUAUGUGUAAGUAACUGUGCACAUCUUGACGGUACCUAAUCAGAAAGCCACGGCUAACUACGUG